rnacentral:tRNA from 1 species
UGGGACGUGGCCUAAUGGUAUGGCAACGGUUUUUGGUGCCGGAGGUUGCAGGUUCGAAUCCUGCCGUCCCAGCCA